GAGGGGAAGUAAGGGGGAGGGAAGGAGAGAGAACGAGAAAGAGAGAGGGUGGGGAGAGACUGAGCGGAUUGCAAAAUACUUUAUGCAAAAGAAAAUCAUUUACUAGUUCAAAUAUCUGAGUCUUCUGUGGUCCUCUUCACUCAACCGUGGAUUCUAUUCUAGAGGAUAUAUUUUGUGGGAAGUUUUUUCCAUGGUCCUGUGAGUGAUUAAUUUGUACAUUCAUCCACACUGUGUGCCAGGCACUGUUUCUGUGAGCUGGGGAUAUGGUGGUGAGCAAGACGUACAAAGACUCUGCUCUUGCAACAUAUAUGCUGGUGGGGAUGACAAGUGACAGCCAGGUAUACCAAGGAACCUGAUAAUUUCAGAGUCAGAAGCACUGUGGAAAAAGAAAAAACAAAACAAAACACAACAACAACACAGUGGCGGACGUGAAGAGAGCAAAGAGGAGGAGAGGUGGUCGCCCAUUUAAGCUUGGUGGAGAAGACUUCUGACCCGAGACCAGAAUGGCAAGAGGGAGCCAGAUGCAGGUCUGGGGAGGAUGCUGUAGGCAGGGUCCUGGGAGAACAAGGGUGGGGGGUGUGGGAAGGUGAGGUGUGGGUCGCAGGGGGGACGAGCAUGUCACAGUCAAGGAACUGAAGAGUCAGUGCCCGGAGCAUGGAGGGUGAGGGGAAGGUGGAAGACAAUUCAGAGAUGGGAAGCCUCCAAGCCAUGUGAGGCUUCUCAGGCCACAGUGCAAGGGUUUGAUUUUAUUUUGAGUACAGUGGAAUUAAUUUAAUUUAUUCCCAAUACAAGCUGCAGAGUUUCAUCAAAGGAGAAAUAUAACUUGCACUUAAUGAGUAACUUUUUUUUUUUUUUUUGUAAAGACUGAAUGGAUUAUGGGGGAGUUGGAAUGAUGGAUUUAACCCUCCCUGAUUGCAUUUAUCAACUCCUCCCACCUCUAGAUCAUUUUCCUCCCGCACAGUUCAGAGUAUAAAACACACCUACUGCUGGUUCACAUAAAGUGAGUCAUAGUAGUAGGCAACAGUAAUAUGCAGUUAAGAGUUGAAAGGCAGCCUAAUAAAAUACUUCAAAGUAGUAGCUGGAUUAGAAACAGCACUUUCCUAACAACUGUGCUCUCCACUGAUGCCUCUGGUUGUUGACCCUCAGGGCUGGUGUGUGUGCUGGGAAGGUGCCAGGCUGGGGAUGUGCUCUCACAGUCUUCCAUUUCUGCAGGCCGUCCAGAGGCGACUGUGGACCUACUCUCCAGGCAGGCUUUCCCACUUUGCUUCACUUCUGUGAACAGACACAGUAUCCUCCUAGCGACUCCAGCCCAGCCUCUUAGUCACCUUUGAUUCUGUGUUUGCUUGUUCACUGACUCCUGAUCCAAUCAGUUACCAAAUCCUCACAGUUAUACCUCAGCAAAGUUUUUCCAAUCUCUUUUUUUCCCUUUCCAUUCCCCUGUUACCAGUCUGGAUUUAAUGACCUCUUAUUUAGCAUCCAGAAACUUCCUCCUAACUUAAACUUCAUUGCAUUCACCCUCUUCUCUUCUAUCUUGUACCCUGCUACCAGAUGAAAAAUUCUAAAGUAUCGUUUGUGUCAUAGACCUCUUUCUCUGCUCAAACAUAUCCAAUUUUCUUCAUAAUCUUUCAAAUUAAGUAGAAAUUCCUCCAUGUGGUUUAAAGCCCUCCAUUCCCUGGAUUGAGCCUUCUUUUCUAGGUUUAAUCCAUCAACUGUUUUUCUAUAAGUAUCCCCCAUUCUCCCAGGCCCAGGUCAAUGGACAAUUUUUAAACCUCUUCAAAAUCUCACGGUCUGGGCAUCUGUGAUUCUGAAGUCCAGUCAGAGAAGAGAUUGAUUACCAUUGUGAAGUUUUUGAAGGCAGGGGUCAAACUUUACUCAUCUUCAACAAAGAUGGAUCAAUGUACCCUAUAUUGAAGUGUAUACCAGCUUUUAGAGUCUAGAAAUAAAAUCCUCUAACAGUGGAAUGUAAUAGCGGUUGGAUACUCUAUAACCAAAACUGAAAGAGUAGAGUGUUUUUCUUGCUCUCUCCGACAAACUGAUGAGGUAGGUACAGGUGACCCAGAGCCCAUUAGUAACCAGCUGCUAAGUGCUGAGUAUCUUGUAGUUCUAAUUAGCUAAAAUGCUGUCCUUCUCUAGUACAUACAACUUACUUGCAUCAGAUGAUGUUUAGGACAGUGUCAGAACUGAGAAUUUUCAGUCAAACUUUAACCAUUCAAGCGCUUGCAUUCCCAAGAUGUAGUGGGCUUGGUUCAAAUUUAGAUGCAGAUAGAAAUGUAUCAAAUAUAAGAUAGUAAAGACGUGGGAAGAACCCAAGAUAAAAUUUCAUCUAACAGCUCCAUUUCACAAGUGAGAAAUCUAAAGUCCAGAGCAGCUGUGACAGGCCAUGGCUAUACAGACACUUUGCUGAAAUAUAGUUAAUAUUUAUAAAUUGAUUAAGCAUUGCAAUAAAACAUUUUCAGAAGAUAUGUCUUAUUACUUUCAGAUCCAGUUCAAUAUUUACUUCCUCUAAUAAGACUUCCUUGAUUAACCUUACCCCACACCGACCACUGCCUUUCUUCAUGUUUCAGUAUUUUGUGUAUGUGGGCUGCCGCAGAGUCGGACACGACUGAAGUGACUUAGCAGCAGCAGCAGCAUAUACUAUAUUAUCAUAUACUUACUUUGCUUAACUAGCCACUUCAUGUAUGAAAAUACCUUGUUUUAUCUCCUAAUCCUUUGAAGGUAAUGCCUCAAAACUUUUUAUUCCAGAAAUCACAGCUGAGGCUUAAUAGAUAUGUGUUGUAUAAAAACCUUUCCAGAACAGAAUUCACCAGAAACCUGACACUGAUUAAAUGCUAUUAAGACAUAAUAAAACAUAAAUCCAUAGAUGUUUUCUAUGGUUUUUGCACUAUUUUGAUGAUGGUUCUUAUUUUGAAAUAAAGGAAAUGGGGGAAAAAAAGAGAAAGGAAAUGGAAGCAUACGGAAGAUCACAGGAAUAAAAACUGGUGACUUUACAAAGCAAAGUUCUAGUGGUACUCUGAAUACAUACGUGAAUCAGAUGAACCUUUGUAUCUACAGCAUCAUUUUAUAUUGUUUUGUCAGGUUCUCAAAAGCACAGACCUCUGCAGUGCAGCCAAUAGGAAGAGGAGGUGAAGGAAAGACGGUUUCAGCUGUACCUCUGGAGUAUCUGGAGAUUAAAGUCAGCAAUGCAGGUGGUCAACCAUGUCAAUAUGAGCUGAGUCCCAAUAAAAACUCUGGACACCAUGGUUCAAGUGAGUUUCCCCAGUCUGCACUAUUCUAUGUGUAUUCUUACACACUGUUGCUGGGAAAAGAUAGCCCUAGCCAAGACUCGAUUGGAAGAGGACAAAUGGAAAUUCAUCCUUGGAACUUUCCUGGACUCUGCCCUAUGUGCUUUUCCCUGGCUCAUUUUAAUCUACGCCCUUUUACUGUACUAGAUUUAUAACAGCCUUCAGUGAGCACUCUGCCUGCUUCUGGCACAGGACGAAACCUGAAGAUGGCUGAGUGAUGCCUACUUGUGGCUGGUAUCAGAAGUGACCUCAAAGGGUUGUAUCUACAAAAAAGUCUUGCUGGGAUUUUGACAAGAAUGACGUUAAACUUCUGUUAUCAAUCUGGGGAGGAAAGACAAGUUUACUGUGUUGAGUGAAUUUAUGAAUAUGCUAUGUCCCUUAACUUUUUUUUUUAAUAUGACAUGUUUUUGAUGCUACCAUAAACAGAUCUUUAACUGCUUGUUGUUGGUAUAUAAAAAUACAAUUGAUUUCUAUAUAAUUAUUUUGUAUCUAGAAAAUUUCCUAAACUACCCUUGUCAUCCUAAAAAUUUAUCUGUAGAUUAAUUUUAUUCUCAGUUUUCUCCCCCAAGGCAUUUUCUCUCUGAAUGUCCUUUUCUUAAAAAAAAAAAAAAAUCACAUAAUGCAACUGCCUUCUACAUGAGAAGAAUCCUUAAAGGAUCCUGAACUUAUUUACAAAACACUAUCAAUACAUAUAGAAUAAUAUCUCCCAUUAAGAUAAAAAUGCAUUGAUUUUAAAUGAAAUAUAUAUUCUCAAAUAUGUCAUGUAAACACACUAAGUUCCUAUUAUUCCUAGUUUAGAAAAUGAUGUGGGCAUGUAUUAGAUAGGACUGGUUACUUCAAUACCAGAUAAUAUUUUAGAGCAUCAGUCUUUAAGUUCCAUUAAGGACUGAGUUAUGAUAAAAACUGAGUAGAAACAGAUACAGUUAAAUAAGUAUUUAUAAUUAUAAUCCUUACUGCAUCUGUACUAAAACUUAUCCUAAAAAGACAUUUCAAAAUUCUAAUUGGACUGUCUAUACAGGCUUUUCUGCAACUGUCCAGAAGACUUACAGGGGGAAAUCUUUCAUUAUUGCUCAAGAAAUUAAAUUUUCCUCUCUGGAAUUAAAUUUACUUCUGGGUUUGUAAACAGUUGCAGUCCUGGGGUAUGAGAUAUUGCAAUGGAUGUAAAGUAGAUUUUACAUGUGUUACCAAAUUUGACAAAUACAUAUUGUUCCUACUUCUUUGCUUUGUACCCUGGUUCUAAGCAACAUUUUAAAGUUAAUUAUAGGGUCAUAAAGGUCUCUUUUUUUCCCCCAAAUAUUUUAAAAUCAUUGUUACAAUUAUUAUGUAGAUCUUGUUAAAGUGGCAAUAGAUGGGAAUUACUCACCCAAAGAAUCUCAACUGUAUCCUUUGGGCGUCACUGAACGUGAAUGGCAUCUAUUAUUUUAUUUCUCUUCCACAGGGAAAAUUUAAAAAGUCACACUGAUGGGAAAGCUUGUGAAUCCACUGAGAAGGUUAACUAAGGUGGAGGAUUAAUCUGUACAGUGAGACAUGAAGAUGUUGGUUACUGACAAUAAGAUGUCUUCAGUUAGUCAGAUUUCAGUGUUUGGGGGCAAAACAAUGUAUAUGUAUUAAUAGAAUCAUGAGUUGUUAAAAACUUUCCUACAAAAAAUAAAGGAAGACCUGUAUCAUCAAGA